CAUUACACUCCCAGCAAGUCAUGGGUACUGAAAUUCCAACACAUUCAAAGAAAUUUUAAUAACACCACUACAUACACACAUACGCAACAAAGGGUAAAAUGUGCAUAAACAUUUAACUCAAAUCUUCUCUCAUACAGCACCCUGAAUGAUAGAAAGAAACAACCAAAGUUCUCGUGUUUGAACAAGUUUUAUUUUGAGCUAUAUCAAGGCUGCUUGUGAAGUAUUAUUUUGCGUGUUUUAUUUAAUUCAGUGAUCUGCAGCCUAAUUAAAGUUUAAAUUAUUGAAGCACGCAUUUUUAAAUAAGUUAAACGUAAAAUAAAAGUUUUCUAAAACCAAAAUAUGGAAUUGAAGAGGGUGAUACAGUAAUACUUCAUAGAACUGUCAUUUCGAAGCACGCAAUAGAAGCUACGCCAACAAUGGUCAACAUCAAUGGCGAAACCAUUGAAUACAUAUAUCAAACCUCAUAUGGCGCCUUAAAGGUACGCAAACUUAUUGGUGUCACUUAUUGUAGCAGCGUAGAACUUUCGAAGCGAUGGAACAUGUGUUGCAAGCAAAUCCAGAACUAUGGAUGCAAACGCUUCUACAUGGAACACAAAUCAUUUACACAACAAAUAUUAAGUUUAAUGUAACUUUUUUACGUGCAAUUAAACCUUUUGGUCAACACAAGCACGAGAAUUGGAACGAUAUGGUUUAGGUGCCUUUGAAACCGUUGAUUAUCACAGCGUGUGUCAACUGGGUUUUGCCAAUGAGCUAGAGGACAAAGCAGUUUCAGUAUUUUUGGGCUUAUCGGCACUGCCGUGCCAUUAGAAGCUACAACACAGAAAAUAAAGGAUACAUUUAAGUGAAUAUAUGUGCUCAUAGAAAUUUAAAAACUUUUUGUAUGUUUAAUUGGGAGGACUUUUUUGAUUCAUUUUCACCUUGUUUUGAGGAAUCAUAACGUUGUUGUAUCGCUUUAAAAGGACAUGGAUUCAACGAAAUUAGUUCAGUGGAAACACAACACCAAGAGUAUGGAUGUUAAGACUAGAACGUUGCCCGUGCUAGAUUUAGAAUUCCUGAAACAUAAGAAACCCUCCUCCCAGAAAUUGGAUGAAUCUAGUACUAGUGAAAUUAGUGAAAGAACAGAUCUUACAAAAACUCCUAAAGAGACCAAAAGAGUCCUCACAUACUGUGCGCAGCUUACACUUCCACCCCGCACGGGAUAUCUGAGAUUUGCCACUCUUCCUUCAGCCUUUGUCCGAUAGCAAAAAAUGUUCAACUAUUCAAUUUGUUUACAAAUGUAAAUAGUGUAGUACGAUAAUACAUGUAUAAAUUAAAUAUAAUAAUAAACACCUGAAUGGUUUGAUAUU